UGAGGAAUAUUGGUCAAUGGGCGUGAGCCUGAACCAGCCAAGUAGCGUGCAGGAAGACGGCCCUAUGGGUUGUAAACUGCUUUUAUGCGGGGAUAAAGGAGUCCACGUGUGGAUUUUUGCAGGUACCGCAUGAAUAAGGACCGGCUAAUUCCGUGCCAGCAGCCGCGGUAAUACGGAAGGUCCGGGCGUUAUCCGGAUGUAUUGGGUUUAAAGGGAGCGUAGGCCGCGUUUUAAGCGUGUUGUGAAAUGUAGACGCCCAACGUCUGCAUCGCAGCGCGAACUGGGACGCUUGAGUACGCGCAACGUUGGCGGAAUUCGUCGUGUAGCGGUGAAAUGCUUAGAUAUGACGAGGAACUCCGAUUGCGAAGGCAGCUGACGGGAGCGGCACUGACGCUUAAGCUCGAAGGUGCGGGUAUCAAACAGG
rnacentral:rRNA from 1 species